AUUGAACGCUGGCGGCACGCUUUACACAUGCAAGUCGAACGGUAACAGGGUGCUUGCACCGCUGACGAGUGGCGAACGGGUGAGUAAUGCGUCGGAACGUGCCGAGUAAUGGGGGAUAACGCAUCGAAAGGUGUGCUAAUACCGCAUACGCUCUGAGGAGGAAAGCUGGGGAUCGAAAGACCUGGCGUUAUUCGAGCGGCCGACGUCUGAUUAGCUAGUUGGUGAGGUAAAGGCUCACCAAGGCGACGAUCAGUAGCGGGUCUGAGAGGAUGAUCCGCCACACUGGGACUGAGACACGGCCCAGACUCCUACGGGAGGCAGCAGUGGGGAAUUUUGGACAAUGGGCGCAAGCCUGAUCCAGCCAUGCCGCGUGUCUGAAGAAGGCCUGGUGUAAGGUACGUUUAGUUAGGUA
rnacentral:rRNA from 1 species